CCUACGGGGGGCAGCAGUGAGGAAUAUUGGUCAAUGGGCGCGAGCCUGAACCAGCCAAGUCGCGUGAGGGAAGACGGUCCUAUGCAUUGUAAACCUCUUUUGUCAGGGAGCAAAAGACGCCACGCGUGCCUUUCCGAGAGUACCCGAAGAAAAAGCAUCGGCUAACUCCGUGCCAGCAGCCGCGGUAAUACGGAGGAUGCGAGCGUUAUCCGGAUUUAUUGGGUUUAAAGGGUGCGUAGGCGGACGGUCAAGUCAGCGGUAAAAGUGAGAGGCUCAACCUCUUCGAGCCGUUGAAACUGGUUGUCUUGAGUGGGUGAGAGGUAUGCGGAAUGCGUGGUGUAGCGGUGAAAUGCAUAGAUAUCGCGCAGAACUCCGAUUGCGAAGGCAGCAUACCGGCGCUCAACUGACGCUCAGGCACGAAAGUGUGGGUAUCGAACAGGAUUAGAUACCCUAGUAGUC
rnacentral:rRNA from 1 species